rnacentral:rRNA from 1 species
GACGAAGGAUGCAAGCGUUAUCCGGAUUCAUUGGGUUUAAAGGGUGCGUAGGUGGCCUUAUAAGUCAGUGGUGAAAUCUCUCAGCUUAACUGAGAAAUUGCCAUUGAUACUGUAGGGCUUGAGUACAGAUGCCGUUGGCGGAAUAUGACAUGUAGUGGUGAAAUACAUAGAGAUGUCAUAGAACACCGAUUGCGAAGGCAGCUGACGAAACUGUAACUGACACUGAGGCUCGAAAGUGCGGGGAUCAAACAGG